UACGAAGGGGGGCUAGCGUUGCUCGGAAUCACUGGGCGUAAAGCGCACGUAGGCGGAUUGUUAAGUCAGGGGUGAAAUCCUGGAGCUCAACUCCAGAACUGCCUUUGAUACUGGCGAUCUCGAGUCCGGGAGAGGUGAGUGGAACUGCGAGUGUAGAGGUGAAAUUCGUAGAUAUUCGCAAGAACACCAGUGGCGAAGGCGGCUCACUGGCCCGAUACUGACGCUGAGGCACGAAAGCGUGGGGAGCAAACAGGG
rnacentral:rRNA from 1 species